rnacentral:rRNA from 1 species
GAUGAACGCUAGCUACAGGCUUAACACAUGCGAGUCGCAGGGUAACAUGAGGAAAGCUUGCUUUCCUUGAUGACGACUGGCGCACGGGUGAGUAACGCGUAUCCAACCUUCCCAUAACUACGGGAUAACCCGUUGAAAGACGGCCUAAUACCGUAUGAUAUCGUUUGCUGACAUCAAAUAACGAUUAAAGGUUUAGCGGUUAUGGAUGGGGAUGCGUCUGAUUAGCUUGUUGGCGGGGUAACGGCCCACCAAGGCGACGAUCAGUAGGGGUUCUGAGAGGAAGGUCCCCCACAUUGGAACUGAGACACGGUCCAAACUCCUACGGGAGGCAGCAGUGAGGAAUAUUGGUCAAUGGGCGAGAGCCUGAACCAGCCAAGUAGCGUGCAGGACGACGGCCCUAUGGGUUGUAAACUGCUUUUAUGUGGGGAUAAAGUGCGUGACGUGUCAUGCAUUGCAGGUACCACAUGAAUAAGGACCGGCUAAUUCCGUG